rnacentral:rRNA from 1 species
GAUGAACGCUGGCGGCGUGCCUAAUACAUGCAAGUCGAGCGAAUGGAUUAAGAGCUUGCUCUUAUGAAGUUAGCGGCGGACGGGUGAGUAACACGUGGGUAACCUGCCCAUAAGACUGGGAUAACUCCGGGAAACCGGGGCUAAUACCGGAUAACAUUUUGAAACGCAUGGUUCGAAAUUGAAAGGCGGCUUCGGCUGUCACUUAUGGAUGGACCCGCGUCGCAUUAGCAAGUUGGCGAGGUAACGGCUCACCAAGGCAACGAUGCGUAGCCGACCUGAGAGGGUGAUCGGCCACACUGGGACUGAGACACGGCCCAGACUCCUACGGGAGGCAGCAGUAGGGAAUCUUCCGCAAUGGACGAAAGUCUGACGGAGCAACGCCGCGUGAGUGAUGAAGGCUUUCGGGUCGUAAAACUCUGUUGUUAGGGAAGAACAAGUGCUAGUUGAAUAAGCUGGCACCUUGACGGUACCUAACCAGAAAGCCACGGCUAACUACGUGCCAGCCGCCGCGGUAA